CCGAGUUUACAACUCCCAAACCCCUGUGAACAUACCUAUACGUUGCCUCGGCGGAUCAGCCCGCGCCCCGUAAAAAGGGACGGCCCGCCCGAGGACCCCUAAACUCUGUUUUUAGUGGAACUUCUGAGUAAAACAAACAAAUAAAUCAAAACUUUCAACAACGGAUCUCUUGGUUCUGGCAUCGAUGAAGAACGCAGCAAAAUGCGAUAAGUAAUGUGAAUUGCAGAAUUCAGUGAAUCAUCGAAUCUUUGAACGCACAUUGCGCCCGCCAGUAUUCUGGCGGGCAUGCCUGUUCGAGCGUCAUUUCAACCCUCAAGCUCAGCUUGGUGUUGGGACUCGCGGUAACCCGCGUUCCCCAAAUCGAUUGGCGGUCACGUCGAGCUUCCAUAGCGUAGUAAUCAUACACCUCGUUACUGGUAAUCGUCGCGGCCACGCCGUAAAACCCCAACUUCUGAAUGUUGACCUCGGAUCAGGUAGGAAUACCCGCUGAACUUAAGCAUAUCAAUAAGCGGAGGA
rnacentral:sRNA from 1 species